rnacentral:rRNA from 1 species
UGAGUUAGGUGGAUCAGACCCGAAACCGAGUGAUCUAGGCAUGACCAGGCUGAAGGUAAGGUAACACUUACUGGAGGGCCGAACCCACACCUGUUGAAAAAGGUCGGGAUGAGUUGUGCCUAGGGGUGAAAGGCCAAUCAAACUCCGUGAUAGCUGGUUCUCCCCGAAAUGCAUUUAGGUGCAGCGUUGCGUGGUUCUUGUUGGAGGUAGAGCACUGGAUGGUCUAGGGGGCUUAUCGGCUUACCGAAAUCAGCCAAACUCCGAAUGCUGGCAAGUGUAGCGUGGCAGUGAGACGGCGGGGGAUAAGCUUCGUCGUCGAGAGGGAAACAGCCCAGAUCAUCAGCUAAGGCCCCUAAGUGGUGACUCAGUGGGAAAGGAUGUGGAGUUGCGUAGACAACCAGGAGGUUGGCUUGGAAGCAGCCAUCCUUGAAAGAGUGCGUAAUAGCUCACUGGUCGAGUGGUUCUGCGCCGACAAUGUAGUGGGGCUCAAGUACACCGCCGAAGCCGCGGCAACA